rnacentral:rRNA from 1 species
UACGUAGGGACCAAGCGUUGUUCGGAUUUACUGGGCGUAAAGGGCGCGUAGGCGGCAAUUCAAGUCAGUUGUGAAAUCUCCGAGCUUAACUCGGAACGGUCAGCUGAUACUGUUUUGCUAGAGUACAGAAGGGGCAAUCGGAAUUCUUGGUGUAGCGGUGAAAUGCGUAGAUAUCAAGAGGAACACCUGAGGUGAAGGCGGGUUGCUGGGCUGAUACUGACGCUGAGGCGCGAAAGCUAGGGUAGCAAACGGG